GUAUGUUUUCUCAGGGAGUUAUCUGAAGAAUGAAGGUGUUUUGCUUUAAGGGAUAGGCUGGGGAUGGAGGAGCGGGUUGUGCAUAGUCAUUUUCAGGUGUGGAAGACAAGCCAGUGCUACGCGGUUGCCAUAGUAACCUGACGUCAUAUUAGCGACGGUGACGACUUUUUAUUGAGACCAAUUUGGCCUGGGGAGAACCGCCUUCAGGCGUUUGGACUCAGUGGAGGUUGUGAGUGCCCAGCAGUGUGGCCUGAAUCUCCGUGGGGUUUAGGGAGACGAAAGGACCCCAGAUCGACGUCCCCUCGUUCCCACUUUGGGGAUCGGCGCUCUGGCUGUUUCGUGAAGGAGAGAGAGGUUGAUUCCAUACCCUGGCUAUUGUGAAUAAUGCUGCAGUGAACAUGGGAGUACAUACAUCUGUUUGAGGAACUCAGAGUGGUUUUCCAGAUGGGAAUCACAUUGCUCUCUGUCCCUGAGAUCUUGCUGGAGACAGGGCUACUCAGUCCCUCUUUGCCAGGUAAUCUGUUCCAGAAGAAACAUGUGUCGUUCUGACUGAGCCCCUGCCUGUCUGUCACCUUAAGAGCCAGUCAAUUCAUAUGGUCCCCAUAUCAAAGUCUCCUGUGCCCAGAGAGAGGAUUUCAUUUCAACCAUCACCAUCACCACCAUCAUCAUCAUCACCAAGAGAUGUUGUUGAAUUGAUACUGGAAAAGCAGUUUCUAUUGAGCCCCCAAAUGAAGAGUGAGUGCAGAUGAAGAGGAGGCAGGACUCACAAGCCCUUGAACUUUAUUCCAGAUCUGUUAGCACCUACAGGACCCUGCACCAGGAUUUCAUCUGUACUAUCAGCUUCUUCAAAGAGAGAGAGGUUGUUGAAUUGAUAUUGGAAAAGCAGUUUCCCAUUGAGUCUCAAAUGAAGAGAGUGCAGAUGAAGAGGAGGUAGGAGUCACAAGCCCUUGACCCUCAUGCUAGACCCAUUACCACCCACAGGACCUUGCAGUGGGAUUUCAUCUGCACCAUCAGCUUCUUCAGAGAGAGAGGUUGUUGACUCUUCAUGUGGAUGUCUGAGCUCAUAUCAGGUGUCUGAAAGAGGCAGAUUCUGAGGAUUUGGGUCAUGAUGGCUGCCAAAGCUUCUACUCCUGACUUAAAGGGCAACAAUCCUAGGAGACCACCAGCACUUACAUCCCUGGUAGGACAUGACACCUGCUUAUGGCUCAGAAGUGACAAAAGAGAAUUAUCAGGAUGGCAGUCCUUAUAACCAGAUGCUUAUCAACAUUCUUCACUACAUUCUGAAGAUGAAUUUCUACAAGGGAAAUUGUUUAUAUUUGUUGUUGGGGAUAGAUAAGGAAAGAAGAAAAAGGCUCUGGUGAGAAACCCAUUGUACCUUCUGGAUAUGAUCACUACCCAAUUUUAUCAGUGUCAUUGAUCACUAACCCAGUGCCUCGUAUGGUGCCAGGCACAGAGUUACUCCAAGAAUGUACAAUAAUGGCUGGAUUCUCUUUCUCCCUGUGCAACUCUUCAUGCAUGUGACUGAACUUAUAUUAAGUGUCUGAAGGAGGUUCGUUCUGAGGAUCUGGGACAUGAUGGGUGCUGAAGCUUCUACUCAAGAUUUGAAGGGCAGCUGUCCUCAGGAGACCCCUGGCACUUCCCUCCAUGGUGGGAUGUGAUGCCUGAUUCCAGUGAGUUCAUAGAGCUGAACAAAAGUACGUUGUGGAAUAGCUCCUGUGAGGUUCACAACAUAGUCCGGAAGAUGAGAAACUACUUUUUUUAGUAACCUGGAUUCCCAUCUAAGAGAUGCCUUACUUUAUCGUAAAGCAAUGAGUUGUUCACUUGAGGAGGGAACUUCAUGUUUAACAUGUAUUUGCAACAAAUUUACAUACAUUUUCUGCCUGUAUGAAUAGUUGUCAGUGAUGCCCAUGAAUUUCUCAGAUGGAUGUUGAAGUAUACAGUUAGAAGGUUAGAAGAUCUUCCUAGCAAUCUGUGAUUACGGUAUGCAUUCUUCCAUGGUUUCUACGUUUUUGUCUAUUCUAUAAUGAAAUUUUCUAAGAAGCCAGAAAUUAAUUAAGUGCUACCUAAAAAUAUCAAAAUGUCAGGUACAAGAAUUUGGCAUUUUCAAAAUUAGUAAUUACAAUGUAAGUUUGCCCUAUUAUAAUGAUACCCAGCUAUGUCCAGUAACAUAACUAGAUUGUUCUGAAUACCGUUAUUAUUUCCCAAUAAUACAAACAUCACAAUUUCAGUUCUGUAGUACCUGGCCUACCUACCCUUCCCACUGCCUUGCCCCAGGUAAACACAGCAUGCCUGUCACUAUACAUUAUUUUACAUGCCUGGAAAUAUAUUUAAAUGGAAUCAUAGAGGUGGUUUCUUUUUUUUUUUUUUAUCAACACCUGGCUUUUUUCAUUCACUCCACUUAUUUUUAUAUUUAUCCAUUUUAUUGCAUUUAUCUAUUGAUAUACUUCAUUCUUUUUGAUUGCUAAAUACUAUUGCGGUAUACAACCACACUAAACAUUUUAUUAUCCAUCCAUUUGUCGAUGGACAUUUUGGUUGUUUCUCAUUUGGGGCUCUUGUAAAUAAAGCUGCUAUGAACAUUUGUGAAUAAGUCUUUUUGUGAAAAUAUGCAUUCUCAUUCAAGGGUCAAUACUUAGGAGUUCAAUCUCUGGAUCAUGUGGUAGA
rnacentral:lncRNA from 1 species